GUAACCUGGUUGAUCCUGCCAGUAGUCAUAUGCUUGUCUCAAAGAUUAAGCCAUGCAUGUCUAAGUAUAAGCGACUUGUACUGUGAAACUGCGAAUGGCUCAUUAAAUCAGUUAUGGUUUCUUUGAUGGUACCUUGCUACUUGGAUACCCGUAGUAAUUCUAGAGCUAAUACAUGCAGGAGUUCCCGACUUCGG
rnacentral:rRNA from 1 species